CUACGGGAGGCAGCAGUGGGGAAUAUUGCGCAAUGGGGGAAACCCUGACGCAGCGAUGCCGCGUGAGUGAAGAAGGCCCUAGGGUUGUAAAACUCUUUCACCGGCGAAGAUAAUGACGGUAGCCGGAGAAGAAGCCCCGGCUAACUCCGUGCCAGCAGCCGCGGUAAUACGGAGGGGGCUAACGUUGUUCGGAAUUACUGGGCGUAAAGCGCGCGUAGGCGGAUUAGACAGUUGAGGGUGAAAUCCCGGAGCUUAACUCCGGAACUGCCUUCAAUACUACUAAUCUUGAGUUCGGAAGAGGUGAGUGGAAUUCCUAGUGUAGAGGUGAAAUUCGUAGAUAUUAGGAAGAACAUCAGUGGCGAAGGCGACUCACUGGUCCGAUACUGACGCUAAGGUGCGAAAGCGUGGGGAGCAAACAGGAUUAGAUACCCUGGUAGUCCACGCCGUAAACGAUGGAAGCUAGUUGUUGGGCGGCAUGCCGUUCGGUGACACAGCUAACGCAUUAAGCUUCCCGCCUGGGGAGUACGAUCGCAAGAUUAAAACUCAAAUGAAUUGACGG
rnacentral:rRNA from 1 species